CGACGAACGACGAACGUAACCUUACGUCGUUCGUGACACUCCGGAGACCCUUAGGAAACUAGGGGUGCUUCCAUCUGGAAGAAUCUGGAGACAGGUGCUGCAUGGCUGUCGUCAGCUCGUGUCGUGAGAUGUUGGGUUAAGUCCCGCAACGAGCGCAACCCUUGCCUUUAGUUGCCAGCAGUUCGGCUGGGCACUCUAAAGGGACUGCCGGUGUUAAACCGGAGGAAGUGGGGAUGACGUCAAGUCCUCAUGGCCUUUAUGACCAGGGCUACACACGUACUACAAUGGCCGAUACAAAGGGCAGCGACACUGCGAGGUGAAGCCAAUCCCGUAAAAUCGGUCUCAGUCCGGAUUGGAGUCUGCAACUCGACUCCAUGAAGUUGGAAUCGCUAGUAAUCGUGGAUCAGCAUGCCACGGUGAAUACGUUCCCGGGCCUU
rnacentral:rRNA from 1 species